CCAACUCGAAUUAGUGUGAGUGUACGUUAGUAUUAAGUUCUAAAUACUGGUGGAAAAAAGGAGUACACAAGAACAGUGUCUUCGCCUGUAAGACUGGACUCCAGCGUGCGAAUCUCAUCCCUGAUUGGUUCAAAUCCUGACUUUACCAAUUGACUGUAUGUCUAUGUAAGCAUAUAAAACUUGCUCGUACGGUGAAAUCAUGGAAGUCGGAGUGUGUCAGACACAGAAGGAUCCUGUCUCACACCUACUUGUCAAUUAGAGAAAACACAUACAUAAAUCUGAAGUCCAAAAGUAAAAGUAAUAGCCAGCAUUAAUGGACUUCCACAUCUUCGUCUUAUACCUCGCUUCAUCAGGAGUCAU